rnacentral:rRNA from 1 species
GCUGGCGGCGUGCCUAACACAUGCAAGUCGAACGAGAAAGGGACUUCGGUCCUGAGUAUAGUGGCGCACGGGUGAGUAACACGUGACUAAUCUACCCUCGAGUGGGGAAUAACUGAGAGAAAUCUUAGCUAAUACCGCAUAACACUUACGAGUCAAAGCAGCAAUGCGCUUGGGGAGGAGGUCGCGGCCGAUUAGCUAGUUGGCGGGGUAAUGGCCCACCAAGGCGAUGAUCGGUAUCCGGCCUGAGAGGGCGCACGGACACACUGGAACUGAAACACGGUCCAGACUCCUACGGGAGGCAGCAGUGGGGAAUUUUGCGCAAUGGGGGAAACCCUGACGCAGCAACGCCGCGUGGAGGAUGAAGUAUCUCGGUACGUAAACUCCUUUCGAUGGGGAAGAUAAUGACGGUACCCAUAGAAGAAGCCCCGGCUAACUUCGUGCCAGCAGCCGCGGUAAUACGAGGGGGGCAAGCGUUGUUCGGAUUUAUUGGGCGUAAAGGGUGCGUAGGCGGUUUGGCAAGUCUUGUGUGAAAUCUUCGGGCUCAACCCGAAGCCUGCACGAGAAACUACCGGGCUUGAGUGAUGGAGAGGUGAGUGGAAUUUCCGGUGUAGCGGUGAAAUGCGUAGAUAUCGGAAGGAACACCUGUGGCGAAAGCGGCUCACUGGACAUUAACUGACGCUGAUGCACGAAAGCUAGGGGAGCAAACAGGAUUAGAUACCCUGGUAGUCCUAGCCCUAAACGAUGAUCGCUUGAUGUGGCACGUACCCAAUCCUGCCGUGUCGAAGCUAACGCGAUAAGCGAUCCGCCUGGGGAGUACGGUCGCAAGACU